AUUGAACGCUGGCGGCAGGCUUAACACAUGCAAGUCGAACGAGUGGCGGACGGGUGAGUAAUGCUUGGGAAUCUGGCUUAUGGAGGGGGAUAACGACGGGAAACUGUCGCUAAUACCGCGUACCAUAGGAUGAGCCCAAGUGGGAUUAGGUAGUUGGUGGGGUAAAGGCCUACCAAGCUGACGAUCUCUAGCUGGUCUGAGAGGAUGACCCGCCACAACGGGGCUGGGGACCGGCCCGGACCCCUACGGGAGGCAGGAGGGGGGAAUAUUGCGCAAUGGGGGCAAACUUAAGCAGGCAUGCCGCGGGGGGGAUGAAGGCCUUCGGGUUGUAAACUCCUUUCGACAGGGACGCGGUACCUGUAUAAGAAGCACCGGCUAACUACGUGCCAGCAGCCGCGGUAAUUC
rnacentral:rRNA from 1 species